ensembl:lincRNA
CACAGUAAAAAAAUGGAGGGUCAGGAAAAAGUGGGGUCAAGGGAGGGCUGGGAGCUAUAUGAAUGUUUGUCCAAGUUGAGAGUGCACCCCACCAAUGAGAAUAACACAGAAGCUCCUGGAAGGCAAACGGGGUGCCUGGUUUAACUGCUCUGGUGUUGGCAUAAAUCCAAGGAGCUCAAAGAGAAAAAUAGGGGACUCACAUCAAUGCUCCCAGUAACAGCCCUGAAAAAGAAAGAUAACGAUGACCUGUGUGUUUGGAAGUCCAGAGGGACUGUUGGUGACAGAGCUCAUGGCUUCCCUGGGAGGACCAAGAACACAACCAAUCUUCCUCUGACAAGGUAGGAGUGGGCAGAGGAAGGCAUGAAGAAUGGCUGCAUUUCUACAUCUGAAGGUCAGAACACGAGAUCAAGCAAUGUGUCUUUGCCAUUUUAAAUCGGCAGACUUCGGACCCCCAGAAGAGGGCAAAACAAGAAACAAAGAACAAGAUGUCGGCUGUGUGCUGAAUAGAAGGGCACCUCGCAGGAUCCUGGCUUUCUGCUCCUCUUCCCACAUACAAACUUUCAAAUCCCGAAACAUUAUGUGGGUUGAAGGGAAUUGCUCUGCAGCACCUGAACUGUCAGCGUGGAAGUGGGUAGCUGAGGUGACUUGGCAGGACCUGCCUAUAAACACCGGUUAUCAGCUCAUUCACAAGGCUCAGCCAAAUAGAAGUGCAAGAUUUUGGCUUGGAUUCCACACUGAUGUUUCACAGAAAGUCAGCUCUUGUUCCAGGGCACCAGUAAAGAUUUCAACCCAUGUAUCUGCAGAAAAUUGCCAGAAACUGUCACAAAAUGAAAAAUGAGAGAAAGCCCGAUGGUCCUGCUAGGUUUCUAUAAGGUAUGUGCCAAAUAAUUUUUUGCUUUUAAGGCUUAACAGUGAGUAUCUUAGGAUGACAGAGUUUAUAGUUGAAUUUUUUCUUCUUUAAUUUCAUUAUAUUUUCAUUUCCCCUCAAAUUGCAUUUUUUUUCCCUUCGUAACGGUCUGUUAAUUAACUUAUGAAAAUACAGUACUAGAAGCCUUAGUCCCAACAAGUGCAAUAGUACCAAAAGUGUAUUUUCUGUUUCUUCACCUCUGUUCUUAAUAGACACAGCAACACUAAAACUCAUCUCGUUAGAACAGAUUUUGUGAAAAUAAGAAAGGACGUUUCUAAACCAAGUGCUUUUCCUCUGAAUAUGAUUUAACCCAAAAUGAGGUUUGGGACUGGAAGAAGGAAUGAAAAACUACCUCUUAAAAUUUCUAUAUCUAAAGCUAAUAGGAAUUCUUUUGCAGUAGCCUUUUUUUUUUCUCUUGACAACCAAGGAUUGAUACAUCUUGCAUGUUAAAAAGUAGAAGACUAUCAGUAAGCACUGACCGGCUACAAUUUGUUUUCCUUGUAAUUUCCCUUUUUGUGAUGCAAUUGGCGCUCUUUUACUGUCUUAAAAUUUUCCAUUUUUCUUCAAUGGUUUCUACUUUCCUCUUUUCUUAGCUCUUAAUUCAUUAGUAGAUAUUUCUCUCUGGUUGACCAACAGUGAUGGGGGUCAGAGUCAUGGACAAUAUAUGAUAUCUGGUUUUGUCUCACUUGAGAAAACCUAAACCUGUGCUUCAGCCUAAAAUUAGUCACUUCAAGCAAAAGUGCUAGUCAGCCUCUGUGGUGGCAAUCAUUUAGUUGUUGUAAGCACUUCAGAAUAC